rnacentral:rRNA from 1 species
AUACGUAGGGGGCGAGCGUUGUCCGGAAUGAUUGGGCGUAAAGGGCGCGUAGGCGGCUUUGCAAGUCAGUAGUGGAAGUCCAUUUUUCAAGGAUGGAAGUGCUACAGAAACUGCGGAGCUUGAGUGCAGGAGAGGUUAUCGGAAUUCCCGGUGUAGCGGUGAAAUGCGUAGAGAUCGGGAGGAACACCAGUGGCGAAGGCGGGUAACUGGACUGCAACUGACGCUGAGGCGCGAAAGUGUGGGGAGCAAACAGGAUUAGAUACCCUGGUAGUCCACACUGUAAACGAUGAAUGCUAGGUGUAGGAGGUAUCGACCCCUUCUGUGCCGCAGUCAACACAGUAAGCAUUCCGCCUGGGGAGUACGGUCGCAAGGUUAAAACUCAAAUGAAUUGACGGGG